UCAAAACACAAUUAAGUUUGGUAUGUAGGUGUAUUAAUCAGGGGGCUGGCUUUAUCCGAUUUGGCAUUUGGGAUUUGUGUUUCACUCGCUGGCGCUCAUUUCCAUAGCAAACAGCUUUCAAGUUAAGAUUUUAAAUUUCGGGAACUGCGCAAAUCGUUUAGAUCGGAGACCCCAACUCCAAGGUUGCCAAAUCUGAGGCUAAAACCAAACAAUGACUAAUAGAUGGCUUACGACUUUGGCUUAGAACAAAGCGUCAACAAAACGCAACAAAUUGAACAAUUGAGCAAAUAUGCAGGUAGGCAAAUAUGUAUAGGUAGAAAUUGAGAGUGUGGAAAGCGUAUAAACAAAGCGAAUUUCUGUUUUUUUUUUUUGAGUGCACAGCGGUGAGUUAGCCAAAUAUUUAUUUGGCUAUAUGGGGUCGCUCAGCUGUUGCGAAUUCAUCCAACACUGUAUACACGAUUCUAUGCCCCGGACAAGGACAAGUCGAUGCGUUGAACUUUACUUUGCAUAUUUGUUCAGUCAUUCAACGCUCAGUUUUAUUAAUUAUGGUCUUCAGUCGCAUGUUCAUUAUGCUACUACCAACUAAGGCAGCUGGUUUUGUCGGCUUUUGAACUUUGAAUGCGGAACCUAUUGAAAACCCUAAUGCGGUGUGAAAAUCUUAAUUGAAUCUUUAUGUUACUAAUAUCAUGUUAUUGGUGAAAAUUUGGCUUAAAAGUUACGUUAAACUUGGCUCUUUUAAAAUGCAUAAAACUCACAUCAUUCAGCGCUACCACAGAUAUAAAGUCAAUUAAGGUGUCUCCUCGGUGGAAUCGAUUUGCGUUCCAAGUGCACGUAAUUGAAUGGAAAUAAAUGCGAAUCGAACUGCCAGCUCGACAUGUUUAUCACGCAAUGCAUUCAUCGGCUAAAGGUUGCAGCAAAGUGUAUUUCUUUCUUUUUAUUUAUUUUUGGUUUGUGGCCAAGAGCGAAAGACGUGGAAAGAAGCCAAAAUUUUCAAUUCAGAUCAAGAUUGGAAGGGCACGUGAUACAAGUCGAAUCGAGUAGCAUUUACAAGCGAUUAACCUCAAACAACUUCUUCAGUUGGAAUGGAUUACGUCUGGAACCGGAACCGGUUGUGGUCGACUAUAUGGCAGAAUAUUUCCCAAACCCAAGCCAGUGACUUGGCUUAGAUCGAUAAAUUAAAUAUCACAAAACAAGUCAAGGCUUCAUCACUUCCUGUUCGAGUGAGCAAACUAGAAUAAUGAACCUAGUGUGGAAAUAUUCACAUUGUCUAGACAGCGCUGCUAAAAGGUGGAAUAUAAAGAGAAAACCCUA